GUAGGUGAACCUGCGGAAGGAUCAUUACCGAGUUCAAAGAGACGUAAAAAAUCUCUUACUCCCAUCCUUGUUUAUUGUGAGCUGUAAAGCAGCUUCGGUGGGCCAUUUCUUUCUUUCUUUCUUUUUGGGAGGGGAGAAAAGAGAUGUUGGCUCUUAAAACCAGCUGGCUUGUGCCUGCCGAAGUAACCAAUUCUGAUAAUUUAUAUUGUCUGAGAAAAUUCAAAAAUAAUUAAAACUUUCAACAACGGAU
rnacentral:misc_RNA from 1 species